AGGGGUCAGUCUCUUCUUCCAGGUUGCGCCACGGAAGAUUUAGAUUGCAUAUUAGGAAAAAUUUAUUCAUCAAAAGGAUUUUCAAGCACUGGAAGGGGCUUCCCAGGAAGUGGUUGAGUCAUCGUCCCUGGAGGUAUUUAAGAGACAUGUAGAUGUGGUGCUUAGGGGCACGGUUUAGUGGUGGACUUGGCAGCUCUGGGGUAACAGGUGGGCUCCAUGAUCUUCAGGGUCUUUUGCAACCUAAACAAUUCUAUGAUCCUACUAAUUAACAACUUUAUUUUGAACAGGGUUCUUUACCUGCUGCACUGUACUCCUCAGAGCUUUGAAAUGCCUAUUUGCACACUGCAUAUUGGGUUUGCAGGUAUGGACGAGUGUGUAUUGGUCCAUGGUCCCAUUUUAUUCCUUGCACUAGGACCUGUUCCGAUGACCAUGUUAAGUCCACAGUGGGAGAAGAAUGGCUGGCCUAAGCCUCUGUCCUCCAAAGGACUGGAUGGUACCAGAACCCUCCAAAGCAAAAAGUCCGUAAGAUUUUAAAGGUGAUAGGUGAAGUAAAGGCCUGGAGUAGACACUGCACUGAACAAAUCUCCCAUUGAAACCAGGGCAGGUUUUCACUUGUGAGUUUUCUCUGUGGGGCACAAUAGGAAUCAAAUAGAAAAAAAAAUAUUUGUAUAACAAGAUGAAACAUGAACAAGGCCUUAGAAAACAGCAAAAGCUGCCUUUUGGGACUAGCCUUGGGGUAAGUAAAACAUGGGGAUCCUUCAGAACUACCAGUUCCCUUUUCCAAGGUUUUCUAAAGACUGUGAACCUCCUGCAGGUUCAUACUCUUCCAUAUCAUUCCUAAUGCAGCAUCUUACAGCCACUGAUUAACUAAGC